UCUAAUUUUAUUUACAGAACUUGGAUUUUUUUUUUUUUUGUUUAAAUUUAAACCUAGGAUUCUUCAGGAGCCAAGUAACCAUCAAUUUAAAUUUACCAAUCUAAUUUUGUUUCAAAAUAUUCAAAUUUUAAUUCAUUUAUUUUUAUGUUUUUCUUUCAGAACUUGGAUUUUUUUUUUGGAUCGACCCAAAUCGAUUUUCCUCCGGGAGCCGGGGAUCCCCUUUUCUUUUUUUGAACUUGACACUUUGAAUAUUUAAUGAACUUGGAUUUCUUAUCGUUUCAACCUAAAAACCUAUAGGAGUUGUCCUUCAAGAGAAGUAUUAGAUAAUUUAAUGACUAUAUUAUUCUUAUUUACUUUUAAAAAUUUUUAGAGCAUUCAGUCCUGGCAAUUUCUUUAGUAUCAUCUUUAAUAUCUUUAUUAUCAAUCGACAAUGGGAAAUCUUUAACUACUGCUGGAUCACUCUCUUAACUCGAUACUCCACUAUAUUCCAUUGUCUAUAUCACUACAUAAAUUACACUCUUCACAGGAGUAUUUCUGAAAAAGAUUAUUGAACAUUAGUUGCUGUAUAUGAUGAAAGGAGGAUAUAAAAUAAUUUAAUGGUAUUUUUUAUCUUGUAAGUUGUUACAAAUAUAUAUAUUUAUUUUCUUA